AGAAGACAACCAGAAAUUGGCCCAAUGCAUGCUGUAACUGAUUUAAGGUGUUUCCAGGAUUCCUUAAAGGUUCAGGAAGAACCAGCGCACACCAUAUCCCACUGUGCAGAUUUUGGGAACGUCUGACUGGACACAAGUCUUCAGUGAGAAGAGAAUCUUCAGAAUUGUAAAAAUGGAGGGAUCUGAAAUUUGCCGAGCAGUUGAGGUGGAGGAUGGUGUUUUUUGAAAAUGUUAAAUAAAUGCAGGUAUGUUGUGUGAAAAG